rnacentral:misc_RNA from 1 species
UUAACGAUUUAUAAGUAUUCAGACGACAUAAUUAUGAAGGAAUUUAAGAAGGCUACUGGCGGGCACUGACCAGGUACAGAAGUCCCCGGCGGCCCCUAAAGGCGGGCCCACCAAAGCAACAUGGUAUAGUUAACAAAGGGUUAGAGAUCGGGCCUGUAAGACCCUAACUCGAUAAUGAUCCUUCCGCAGGUUCACCUACGGAAA